rnacentral:rRNA from 1 species
CAAUAGCGUAUAUUAAAGUUGUUGCGGUUAAAAAGCUCGUAGUUGGAUUUCUGCCGAGGACGACCGGUCCGCCCUCUGGGUGAGUAUCUGGCUCGGCCUGGGCAUCUUCUUGGAGAACGUAGCUGCACUUGACUGUGUGGUGCGGUAUCCAGGACUUUACUUGAGGAAAUUAGAGUGUUUCAAGCAGGCACACGCCUUGAAUACAUUAGCAUGGAAUAAUGGAAAAGGACUUCAACCUCUUCUGUUGGUCUGAGAGGCUGUAGUAAUGAUUAAUAGGGAUAGUUGGGGGCAUUCGUAUUUAAUUGUCAGAGGUGAAAUUCUUGGAUUUAUUAAAGACGGACUACUGCGAAAGCAUUUGCCAAGGAUGUUUUUCAUUGAUCAAGAACGAAAGUUAGGGGAUCGAAGAUGAUCAGAU